GGUUCUAUAGUGUAGUGGUUAUCCUGUCUACUUUGCACGCAAAAGGUCCUGGUUUCAAGCCUCAGUGGAAACA